rnacentral:rRNA from 1 species
GAGUUUGAUCCUGGCUCAGGAUUAACGCUGGCGGCAUGCCUAAUACAUGCAAGUCGAACGGAGUAGCAAUACUUAGUGGCGAACGGGUGAGUAACACGUAUCUAAUCUACCAUUUAGUGGGGAAUAACUGUUGGAAACGACAGCUAAUACCGCAUAAUAUUGCUGGAUAAUUUCCAGUAAUGAAAGGAGCUUUCAAGCUCCGCUGAUUGAUGAGGAUGCGGCGCAUUAGCUAGUUGGUAGGGUAAUGGCCUACCAAGGCAAUGAUGCGUAGCCGAUCUGAGAGGAUGAACGGCCACAUUGGGACUGAGACACGGCCCAAACUUCUACGGAAGGCAGCAGUAGGGAAUUUUUCACAAUGGGCGAAAGCCUGAUGGAGCAAUGCCGCGUGACUGAUGAAGGUCUUCGGAUUGUAAAGGUCUGUUGUAAGGGAAGAAAUGGUAAAACAGGAAAUGGUUUUAUCUAUGACGGUACCUUACCAGAAAGCCACGGCUAACUAUGUGCCAGCAGCCGCGGUAAUACAUAGGUGGCAAGCGUUAUCCGGAUUUAUUGGGCGUAAAGGGUGCGUAGACGGUUUUGCAAGUCUGAGGUUAAAUUUAGGAGCUCAACUCCUAAUCGCCUUGGAAACUACAAGACUAGAGUAUAGGAGAGGUUAGUGGAAUUCCAUGUGUAGCGGUGGAAUGUGUAGAUAUAUGGAGGGAACACCAGUGGCGAAC